GGCCCCAGUUUGCUCAGAAGUCUCCUUCUAAAAAUCCCACAGCUGUGACGCACCAGCCCACCUCCCUCAAAUCCCACUGAUUUCAUGUCUCUUUCAGCCUCCAAUUAAAUCCCCCUAUCUUCCCCUUCAAGGCCCUGCGUAAUGUUUAGUUUGCCUUUGAUCUCGUUCCUCCCACUCCUCCUCCUGCCUGUACUCCCCCAGUCAUCCCUCCUUUCUGCUCCUUUUAUCUUGUUCUUGGAUGGUUCAAUUUUGCUUUUUUCUUCAUGCUCCUCUGACACCUCAAUCCAUCUUCCAUUUUCUGUUAGCCAAAUAUUUUCCCUCUUCUACCUUGAAUCCCUAUAUUUUUCUUCCUUGCUAGCACUAACACCCCACACGCACUUAUGCAGAGUCACCUGAGCUGUUGUCCCAUGUGGUUUUCCUAGAGUGCAUGUUCUUCACACCAGGAAUUCAUGGUUCUCCUAUAGUGCACACCUCACGGGUACAAACACACAAGGGUCUUUUGAAGAACAGCAGUCACUGAAGAAACCCAACUGGCAAAACCUUCAGAUGCGUCUCCAUGACAACACAUAGAUGCACAGUCUGCUAUAUACAUCAUUAUUGGGAGACUAACUGCUCCUAGAUUUUUCCUACAUUGAGCUGAGAAGCAGACCGACCAACAGGGUAGCUGGCUGCAGAGGAUGUUGCUGGGAUUUAAAUGUGGAAACCACAGUUUGUGACUCAUUCAGGAGGCAAAUGGAGCAGCCUUACUGAAGAGGUGAGCCUUGCACCAUAGCUUUCCUUGCUGAGGCUGCUUGCUCAAGUAAAGGGAUGGCCACUGGCAGGUCCCCACCGAGUCUGAAGUCACAUGGAGGACCUUCACAGGGUUCUCAGAGUCUUCCUGAAAGGCUGUUAGUGCAACGUACCAGCAGAGUGAGAUAAGAACAGAAGGCAAUUUGUGUUAAUGAGUAAUCUGGAGAGGUGGUUUGGUUUUUUUCCUGCACAUGUAGAAGGACAGAGAGAGCGAUCCUGCCCUCUCUCCCCAGUGGAGAACCCUUAACUCUGUGGGAAGAGGGUCACUCUCCGCUCGCCGGCAGCACGUGGGAAACCAGGGCCAGCAGGCCAGGCCAGUGGCACACGCAGCCAAGGCUUCUCCCAGAUGGAUGAUCCAUUCCUCACAGACCAAGGAUCAGACUAGGACCAAGAAAAGGAACCUGCUACUCACUGCACAUGUGUGUGUGUGUGGUUAUGCCCCCUUUCGUAAUCCCCACUGUUUAUUGCCCUGGGUUUAAUUGCUCUGUACAUUUCACAUUAAAUCAAACAAUAAAUGUUA